AUUGAACGCUGGCGGCAUGCUUUACACAUGCAAGUCGAACGGUAACAGGCCUUCGGGUGCUGACGAGUGGCGAACGGGUGAGUAAUGCAUCGGAACGUACCCAGAGGUGGGGGAUAACGCAGCGAAAGCUGUGCUAAUACCGCAUGUGAUCUGAGGAUGAAAGCGGGGGACCGAGCAGCAAUGUUUGGCCUCGCGCCUUUGGAGCGGCCGAUGUCGGAUUAGCUAGUUGGUGGGGUAAAGGCCUACCAAGGCGACGAUCCGUAGCUGGUCUGAGAGGACGACCAGCCACACUGGGACUGAGACACGGCCCAGACUCCUAAGGGAGGCAGCAGUGGGGAAUUUUGGACAAUGGGCGCAAGCCUGAUCCAGCAAUGCCGCGUGCGGGAAGAAGGCCUUCGGGUUGUAAACCGCUUUUGGAAGGAACGAAACGGUGUCCGCUAAUACCGGGCGCUAAUGACGGUACCUGCAGAAUAAGCACCGGCUAACUACGUG
rnacentral:rRNA from 1 species